rnacentral:rRNA from 1 species
UGAAUACGAGACGCUAAGGCGUCGAAGUAGUGUAUGUCAUACUUCCAAGAAAAGCUUGCACUGUCAUAGAUAAAAAACGCCUGUACCAUAACCGACACAGGUGGGUAGGUAGAGUAUACUAAGGGGCGCGAGAUAACUCUCUCUAAGGAACUCGGCAAAAUAACUCCGUAACUUCGGGAGAAGGAGUGCCUUAUUAUUAAGGUUGCAAUAACAAGAUCCAAGCAACUGUUUAUCAAAAACACAGGUCUCCGCUAAGUCGUAAGACGAUGUAUGGGGGCUGACGCCUGCCCAGUGCCAGAAGGUUAAAGAAGCUGGUUAGCAUUUGCGAAGCUAGUAACUGAAGCCCUGGUGAACGGCGGCCGUAACUAUAACGGUCCUAAGGUAGCGAAAUUCCUUGUCGGGUAAGUUCCGACCCGCACGAAAGGCGUAAUGAUUUGGAUACUGUCUCGGAGAGGGGCUCGGUGAAAUAGACUUGUCUGUGAAGAUGCGGACUACCUGCACCAGGACAGAAAGACCCUAUGAAGCUUUACUGUAACUUGAAAUUGAAAUUGGACUUUAUUCGCGCAGUAUAGGUGGGAGGCGUUGAUUAUAAUCUUGCGGGAUUAUUGGAGCCAUUAGUGAGAUACCACUCUUGUAAUGUUAGAUUUCUAACUUUGAAUCAUUAUCUGGUCAAAGAACAGUUUCAGGCGGGCAGUUCGACUGGGGCGGUCGCCUCCUAAACGGUAACGGAGGCGUACAAAGGUUUCCUCUGAACGGUUAGAAAUCGUAUCUAGAGUGUAAAGGCAUAAGGAAGCUGGACUGUGAGACCUACAAGUCGAGCAGGGACGAAAGUCGGUCUUAGUGAUCUGACGGUACUGAGUGGAAAGGCCGUCACUCAACGGAUAAAAGUUACUCUAAGGAUAACAGGCUGAUCUCCCCCAAGAGUUCACAUCAACGGGGAGGUUUGGCACCUCGAUGUCGGCUCAUCGCAUCCUGGGGCGGUAGUACGUCCCAAGGGUUGGGCUGUUCGCCCAUGAAAGCGGUACGCGAGCUGGGUUCAGAACGUCGUGAGACAGUUCGGUCCAUAUCCGGUGUAGGCGUUAGAAUAUUGAGAGGAGCCUUCUUUAGUACGAGAGGACCGAGAAGGACAUACCUCUGGUGUACCAGUUAUCGUGCCAACGGUAGACGCUGGGUAGCUAUGUAUGGAGUGGAUAACCGCUGAAAGCAUCUAAGUGGGAAGCCCACCUCAAGAUAAGUAUUCUCAC